UACGAAGGGGGCUAGCGUUGCUCGGAAUCACUGGGCGUAAAGCGCACGUAGGCGGCUUUCUAAGUCAGGGGUGAAAUCCUGGAGCUCAACUCCAGAACUGCCUUUGAUACUGGGAAGCUUGAGUCCGGAAGAGGUUAGUGGAAUUCCCAGUGUAGAGGUGAAAUUCGUAGAUAUUGGGAAGAACACCAGUGGCGAAGGCGGCUAACUGGUCCAGAUCUGACGCUGAGGUGCGAAAGCGUGGGGAGCAAACAGG
rnacentral:rRNA from 1 species